UGAAAUAAAUGGACAGAAGCUAAUGACUUGUAUAAAUACAGGGAAAAACCUUUGGGAAUAUACAUGAGGAGGAAGAUAACAAGAGGAAGGUGUGCCUAUCUUCAGGUCUAAUAAGACAGAUUUAAAAUAAAAUAAGGACUUAGAAAAUUUAAAUACUAUAAUUAAUAUGCUUGAAUAUGUAUUUAGCCUCUCAUCUAUAAAAAGCGGAUAGGACUUCCUUCCUGUUGUAAUGUUCUUCGGGUAGUAAAAGGAUGCUUCAUCCCAAUAAACAACCCUGCAGGUUGGGGCUAUUUGUUGAGCUUUUGGAAAUUCCAGAGCAUAAUUUCUAGGAGCUGAGCUGUUCAUCCCAGAAUUCUGGACUCAAUCCCAAGGAAAGGACCAAAAUUCCCCUUUGCUUUCAAUUAGAGAAGUGACCUGUGCUCCUGAGUUCCAGCGGCAUGGAGUGUUCUGGGAGGGGCAGCUGGGAUCCUGCCCAGGGUCGGGUCAGCACUGGAAGUCUGGCAGGAAUUCUUCACUGACACAUGAAUGAGAGCGGGUGCCCUUGGUGCUGACUCUUAGCUGGCGACCCUCUUCUCCCUCCUCGGGCUAAGCACGCCCCCUUUGGGGUAAAGGAUUGGGCAGGGCUCCUCCCUGGUGUCUGCUCCUGGAGAUAAGUCCUUGAUGACUCUCUGCAGCCUCCCAUUCGGGAGAUAAAUUUCCGAUUUGGGAGGAAAUCACACACCCCGCCCUAUGCCCCAACAGGAGCGGCUACAUCUCCCAUCCCUCCGCAACGGUGGGAAGUGACUGCGCCCACCCUUCCCCAACCCUGGGGGAUUCCAGAAUUUGAAAGUUCAGAGCUGGAAAGAUAAACAUCACUGCGGAUCCCUCGCUCCCUCAUUGUUUCUCUUCAGGAACAGAAAAGGAACAGAGAGCCGGACUGUGCGGAAAUUCAUCCAUCUGCAGGCGUUGUUAAGGGAACUGCGGCUGAAAUUACGUUUGCGGGUUCCUCCCUUUCCUCUUUGUCAACACCCCCACCCACCUCUUAAGAAAAAGAAAGAAAGAAAGAAAGAAAAAGCUUUGAUUCUUAGUCCAAGUGGGAUCUGAAGGAUUGCGACACCGUCUGUUCACAUCUGCAUCCUCAGUACCUGUCAAUGUCCCUGGCAUUGAGUAGAAGCCCAGAAGAGGUUAAGUGAAUGAAUACAACCGCCAUGUCUUUUGCAACCAAUCAGAAACUGUGUGUCAGCAUUUUCUCAAGUGUCAUCCAUGACACUCAUUGAUGAACCCCACUGAAUCUGCAAAUAAACAAGAAAUAAAUGGAAG
rnacentral:lncRNA from 1 species